AUGAUUUGCUCGCUUGCCAGGCGAGUGGGACCACCUCUGAGCCCAGACGACCCAUAUUUGGCCCCAGGCCCUCCGCCCACUACUCCCAUUUCAAUACCAAGCUCUGGGGUUGGUGGCGCUCCCCCAACAAAGCCACCGAACACUCCAGUGGGUGGCAGGAGCCUGCCCUCUGCUCCACCACCAGCCACCUUUCCCCAUGUGAUACCGAAUCUGCCUCCCCCGCCUGCCCUGAGCCCCCUUAACAACGCGUCAGCUUCUCCUCCUGGCCUGGGGGGCCUAGUCGCUACCUGGACAUCUGCCCUCUCCCCAUGCCAUGGGGCAGGCUAUGGGCGGACUUCCUCUCGGCCCAGAGAAGGGCCCAACUCUGGCCCCCUCGUCCCACCCUCUGCCCCCCCACCCCGCUUCCUCCUCUUCUGCCUCAGCCCCCCAAUGAGGUAUCCCUAUUCACCUUCUAGCAGUAGCUCUGCGGCUGCCUCCUCUUCCAGCUCUUCUGCUGCCGCUGCCGCCCAGUACCCAGCUUACCAGGCGCUGCCCAGUUAUCCCCACUCUUUCCCUCCCCAGGCAAAACUCUCAGUCUCCAACCAGUCCCCCAAGUACACCCAGCCUUCUCUCCAGUCCCAGGCAGUGUGGAGCCAGGGUCCCACUCCACCUCCUCCUUAUGGCCGCCUCUUAGUCAACAGCAGUGCCCACCCGCAGCCCCUUCCCGCCUCCUGCCAGGAGCCAGGCCGAUGCCCACUCGCCAGCCCCAACACACCAGCAGCAGCAGCAGCAUCAGGGGACCUCUGGGGACCUACCCAGAGCGUUUCCCCACCCUUUAGAAAGCAGUGGCGCCCACCAUGCGCACUCCUAUGCCAUGUCGCCCUCCUUGGGGUCUCUGAGGCCCUACCCGCCCGGGUCAGCACACCUGCCCCCGCCGCACGGCCAGGUGUCCUACAGCCAGGCCAGCCCCGGUGGCCCUUCGGCCUUUUCCUCUUCUGACUCGCCAUCCUCCUUCUCCUCUCAAGGGUCCUACCCCUGCUCGCACCCCUCCCCUUCCCAGGGCACCCAAAGGGAGCCCUACCCCUUCCCACCGGUGCCCACGAUCACCACCUCCUCGGCCACCCUCUCCAGGGUCAUCGCCACCGUGGCCUCCUCACCAGCAGGCUACAAGACGGCCUCGCCGCCCGGGCCCCCGCCGCACGCGAAGCAAGCCGCGUCCCCGGGGACCUACAAGAUGGCCACCCCAUCCGGGUACAAGCCUGGCUCUCCCCGCGCCUUCCGAACAGGGACCCCGCCGGGCUACCAAGGCGCCUCGCCGCCCGCUGGCCCAGGGACCUUCAAGCCGGGUUCGCCUGCCGCGCCGGCGGCGGGGAGGGCAGGCCCGCCCGGCCCUGAGCGGCGCGCAGAUCAAGCAGGAGCCGUCCGAGGAGUACGAGGCGCCCGAGAACCCGGCGCCCCCGGCGCAGCCCCUCGCCCCCGCCCAAGGUGGUGGAGGUGCCCAGCCAUGCCAGCCAGUCGGCCAGGUUCAACAAGCACCUGGACCGCGGCUUCAACUCCUGCGCGCGCAGCGACCUGUACUUUGUGCCGCUGGAGGGUCCCAAACUGGCCAAGAAGCGCGCUGACCUGCUGGAGAAGGUGCGGCGCGAGGCCGAGCAGCGCGCGCGCGAAGAGAAGGAGCGCGAGCGGGAGCGCAGUGUGAAGCUGGCUCAGGAGGGCCGCGCUCCCGUGGAGUGUUCGUCCCUCGGAGCCGUGCCUCACCGCCCUCCGCUCGUGCCGGGCUGUGCGGUGGUUACGGUGCCCUGGAGCCUGACACCCCGGCCUUGUGCACCCUCAGCGAGUACGCCCGGCCUCACGUCAUGUCUCCCGGCAACCGCAACCACCCCGUCUACGUGCCCCUGGGCGCGGUGGACCCGGGGCUCCUGGGCUACAACGUCCCGGCCCUGUACAGCAGCGACCCGGCUGCCCGGGAGAGGGAGCGGGAAGCCCGGGAACGAGACCUCCGCGACCGCCUCAAACCGGGAUUCGAGGUGAAGCCCAGCGAGCUGGAACCCCUGCACGGGGUCCCUGGGCGGGGCCUGGAUCCCUUCCCGCGACACGGGGGCCCGGCCCUGCAGCCUGGCCCGCCCGGCCUGCACCCUUUCCCCUUCCCCUGGAGCGAGAGCGGCUGGCUCUGGCGGCCGGGCCAGCCCUGCGUCCGGACAUGUCCUACGCGGAGUGGCUGGCGGCCCGAGCGGCAGCACGCGGAAAGGGUGGCAGCCCUGGACGACGACCUGCUGGCGCGGCUGCAGAUGCUCAACGUGACCCCCCCCCACCACCACCAGCACUCGCACAUCCACUCGCACCUGCAACAGCAGGACGCCAUCCAUGCAGCCUCUGCUGCGGUGCACCCUCUCAUUGACCCCUGGCCUCAGGGUCUCACCUUACUCGGAUCCCCUACCCAGCUGGGACCCUCCCUAACCCCCUUCUUCCUUACCCUCUGCCUAGAACGAAGUUCUUCGCCACCAGCUCUUUGCCGCCCCCUACCGGGACCUGCCCGCCUCGCUCUCCGCCCGGAUGUCCGCAGCGCACCAGCUGCAGGCCAUGCACGCGCGGUCGUCCAAGCUGCAGCCCCUGGCGCCGGAGCAGCAGCAGUGGCUGCACGCCCACCACCCGCUGCACAGCGUGUCGCUGCCCGCCCCGGAGAACUACUGCAGUUACCUGAAGGACAGCGACAAGCCGCUGUAG